UUUAAAAUAUAGCUCCUGAAAUAUAUCAAAUACACUUAGGAAAAGUUCUACUUGGCACACCUCCUACAAAAGAUGUUAAUUAUUCAAGCUGCAUGAUUGAGGAUUUCAGAGUCACAGAUUCACCUGCAAUGUUUGGAAUACCAGUGGAGGUCUACAUCAACAAAGAAUUUAUACAGCAGCUGGUGUUAGUCAAAGCUAAUGAUGGAAUUUCAGUUUAAUAAAAAGACCCCCAACUGAGCAAACUAGCUUAAAAAAAGUAUACUUAUCAAACGGCUUUCAAUCAGUUCAAGAGAGACACCUUAAUUGGGAAGAGGAAGAAUUUCAGAGUAGUUUGUCAUCAUGCCAAUUCCAGAUCAAUAACUGCAUGUCUGCUCUUUGGUAGACAUAGCUUUUGCUUUAUAUUAAGUAAUCACAUCUAUACCCUCUCUAUUUUGGGUAAGGAGAUCUUUGUUUCAUUUGACAAUGUGCAAUGAUAUCCUCUUUCGAUUCACCUCUGUAUUUUCAUAAUAAACAUGAGUAAAAUUUGGACAUGUUAUUAUAAAUGUCAAUAUACUUUUAUUUUAAAAAUAGGUUUUCUAUUUCUUGUAAUAGGAAAGCAGUGCUUAUGAAAUUUUCAUAUUUUUAAAAGUUGUUGAAAUAAAAUUAUAUGAAUAAAAUUAAA